AGUUAAACAAGAAGAUAAUUGAAGCCCUGAAUAAUCUAGUAGUCAGAUCAUUCAAGAGCUUAAAGCCAACAGGGAAGCGCUUCUUGAUAGGAGUAGACACACGUAAUGUUUUAUCAACUGUAAUGUACGUUAAAUGCCCGUUUGUGAAGUCGAUUGAUGCAGCAGCUUUGCUUCUGCAAUCUUUCCUCCAAGCAGAAAAUGGAGGGAAUGAAAGAAGGUAACAGUCACCUCAUUUUUGGAGUCAAGUCAACCGAACACCUCAUCUUACAGAAUCGAAGAACUUACUGCGUUGAAAGCCGGCUUGUCGCUGCAAGAAACAACACAAAUCCUUUCCUCUAAAACUGGCGGCCCUGUGAAUGUGCUGAAAUUCUUUGACUGGGCAGCAGCAAAGAAGAAGGAUGUAGAUGUUUUUGUGCUAAUCAGCACUUCAAAUAUUACACCAUGUGAUCCCUACAACGGAAUAGUUCAUUAUUGUGAAGAACUCAAGAAAGAAGAGCAAAAUGUCAAGUUGAUCACAAUAUCGCUGAAUGGCAUGUGUUCAAAACCGAAGCAGUAUUACAAGAAGUCAAACAUGCUGUACAUUAAUGGCUUUGAUGAUAAAGUCUGGCGGAUCAUCCAGGAAUUCUGCCGCAGCUCUUUCUGAAGUCAAACCUAAUCUGUCCACCGGUUUGAACCCAAAUUAAUGUGAUUUAUUUUUUAAUCAAGUGACUUCAUUUUCUAGUACUCAGGGACUGUCAUCCCCGAGACUGGGCAGAACCCUGGGCUCACAUGAGUGUGACACUCUGGCCUGAAAACCAAGUGCAUUCUUAAGUAGAAUUCAACUUGUCGGUUAAAAUUAAUGUAGGGCAGUCAAAUUUACCGAAUGCUGUACUAUUUGAAUAAGUUUUUUGAGUGAGAGGAGCAUUGAAAUCACCCUGAGGAAAUUUUCAAGUCAAAUUAUUUUCCUUUAACGGGGCACAUGAUGUCAUUUUUUAUGAUUAUUAUCUUCUCACCAUUGAUCAUGACAGUCGUCAAUUUCAUAAAACGAUACGGCUUUUAGUGAGGAUAAAAUAUUUACAUGGAACAUGAAAAAACGAAAAUAUGAUAGCUAAAACUCGGGGAAACCGUGCCUUUGUUAUCCGAAACUUGAUCAGAUUUGUGAUUUGCUAUUGUCUCUUGGGUCUUGUUAAUCAGCUGGUCUUGUUAUGCCAUGCCUUUCUAGAGUUUGAGGGAGGAUUUCAAGUGUCAUCAAGUUCUCCAAUUAUAAGUUUAAGAAUGUUUUCAGUGGUGUAACUAAGUUAAAGUCAAAUAAAGUGCCUGCUUGAAGGAAACUCAGUCUAAUAGCCAAAUCAAAAUAAGGUGUGGAGUCUUUCAUUGACAGUUAAAAAUGCAAAAGAGACGCAGCUAUAAGACUAUAAGUAACUUUUAAUCACCAUAUUAAAAUAUUAUGAAACAAACAGUAAUAUCUUUGACUUUUUCUCAGACUCUGAAUAAUAAACUGACCCAGUCCUUUCCUGUUGGCGAGCCAUUAGGGAAAAAGUUAUGAUCUUAUUUUAUACUGUGCUGCUCUCUCAAAAGUUAUACUUAAUUUUUAUUUUUAUUUUUUCAUUUCAUUUUAUAUCUGUUUUUAACCUCGAAAUAUUAGUAAAUACCUGCUAAUUUCAUCCCUAUCUUGACUCAAAAGAUGAUUCAACAAUUUUUAAAACUGCGAGUAUACCAAGUGUUAAUUUUUCACUGCUCAUAGGUUUAAGGAUUGUCAAGAAAAAUUGGUGCUAAGCCAACAAGACUUUAUGGUAUUCAGUUUUGUGUGCCAAGACAUCAAAACACUUGCAUUAUUCAGCCCAGGGUUCACCUUUGUCUCCAGAUUAAUAAUCUGCUCUCAAGAAACCAAAUUCUUCUGGUGCAUCCUUGUUCUUAGUUUAAAUAUGGUUGGAGUUGAAGGGAGCAAGUUCAGAUCCCUCAUCUGAGGCCACUGUAUAAACAGGUUUCGUCUACAAUGGCUUUUUUGAAAGUGGCACUUAAUUUUUCACAAGGUCUCCAUGGUAGGUAGGUCUUACUUCAAAAUGAUGCAAGUAUAUAGCAUUUCUCCGCUUUUUUUUUACUGCUUGCCAACUGAUGUCCAAUUCAAAUUCCACCUCUGUUUUGCUCUGUCCUUCAAGAAGCAAAAUUAACCAACAAGUAGUAAAGUGGUGACUUACAGGUGUUAUAUUUUUGAGGCCAAAAGUAGAAUGAAGUAAUUUUCAAAUCUACAGGUGCAUGGUCAAUCAAAUCUUGAUUGAUCAGAGGCUGAGGUAUUUGCUGUUUUGCAACAAGAUUAAAUCAUAAUUAUUUGCUCACUCUAAGCUUCGACCAUUUUGUUUCAUUAACAAGAACCUACUGCAUGGACACAUCAGCAGUAUUUUUCUGAUAUUUAACUGUUACAUAUUAUACUUAUUUUUCUCUUACUUUUCCGCUGUGAGUGAUAGUCGUAAUUAAAAUCAAAUGAUUUUUUAUAGGUACCUACAAAGUAUGUAGAUAGUUGUGGCUGCUAAG
rnacentral:lncRNA from 1 species